AUGGAAGGGCUCCUACAUUGGGAUUUCAACCCUGGCUUUGCGGUGGCCGAGCAGGUAUGUCGCCGGUUUGGAGAAAUGGUGCACUUCUCUCCAUCUCGCAAGACCAAGGAAUUUUUCUUGGUUGUCUCUUUUUCCUCAGCUUCCUUUCCCCUCAAUGAGGAAUCUAUGGGUGUGGCUCUACAAUGUUGCAUUUGUGGACAUCAUCUUGGGUUUAAGGUUUCUAAGAUUUUUGAGAGGUCAUUUCGCUUUUCUGUGGCCGUGAACAAGGUUGGACAUUUUAUUCAUGGCCUCAAGGACCGUAUUUGGCCAGAUUUCAUUUGUCAUUUUCAUCUGUUCAAUGGUCGUUUCAAAGGAUACAUGCAUUUGGAGUCUCGAUGGCAUGCAGAUGAAAGGCUUGACUCUAUUGCUAGUCGGAGCCCCGUGGUUGUACGUAUUACACUAGUGCAGAACCGGGCAAUACCACCGGUUCGUAAGGCCCUUUAG
rnacentral:rRNA from 1 species